rnacentral:tRNA from 1 species
GGCCCCAUCGUCUAACGGUCAGGACGCUAGCCUCUCACGCUGGAAAUGGGGGUUCGAUUCCCCCUGGGGUCACAA